AUUAAAAUCCCAGCAAAAAUCAAGAUGUUCCUUUGGCUUAUUGCUAGAAAAAGUGUACUGACCAAAGAUAAUCUAGUUAAGAAAAGGUGGAAAGGGAGUAAGAAAUGUGUGUAUUGUGGUCAAGUUGAGACCAUAGAUCACCUGUUCUUCUCUUGCUCUGCUGCUAGAUUACUAUGGAGUUUCAUAAAAUGCUCCUUCAAUUUACAAACAGCUCCAAUUGGAGUUGAUGAUUGUCUGGGUCCCUGGAUAAAGAAAUUCAAUCUAGAAGAAAGAAAACUGGUGCUGGUCGGACUUUCUGCUAUUUUGUGGGCUAUUUGGAAAUGUUGA
rnacentral:rRNA from 1 species